UAGGAUAAUAGUUAAAUAUUAACAUUUAAUUUGCACUUAAAAAUUACUGACUCAGUUUAUCUU
rnacentral:tRNA from 1 species